AAUAGAUACCCAGGUAGUCCAUGCCGUAAACGUUGGGCGCUAGAUGUGGGGACCAUUCCACGGUUUCCGUGUCGCAGCUAACGCAUUAAGCGCCCCGCCUGGGGAGUACGGCCGCAAGGCUAAAACUCAAAGGAAUUGACGGGGGCCCGCACAAGCGGCGGAGCAUGCGGAUUAAUUCGAUGCAACGCGAAGAACCUUACCAAGGCUUGACAUAUACGAGAACGCUCUAGAAAUAGAGAACUCUUUGGACACUCGUAUACAGGUGGUGCAUGGUUGUCGUCAGCUCGUGUCGUGAGAUGUUGGGUUAAGUCCCGCAACGAGCGCAACCCUCGUUCUAUGUUGCCAGCGCGUUAUGGCGGGAACUCAUAGGAGACUGCCGGGGUCAACUCGGAGGAAGGUGGGGAUGACGUCAAAUCAUCAUGCCCCUUAUGUCUUGGGCUUCACGCAUGCUACAAUGGCCGGUACAAAGGGCUGCAAUACCGCAAGGUGGAGCGAAUCCCAAAAAGCCGGUCUCAGUUCGGAUUG
rnacentral:rRNA from 1 species